CACGUAGGGGCCAAGCGUUGUCCGGAUUUAUUGGGCGUAAAGAGCUCGUAGGCGGUUGGGUAAGUCGGGUGUGAAAACUCCAGGCUCAAUUUGGAGACGCCACCCGAUACUGCUCUGACUUGAGUUCGGUAGGGGAGUGGGGAAUUCCUGGUGUAGCGGUGAAAUGCGCAGAUAUCAGGAGGAACACCUGUGGCGAAAGCGGCGCACUGGACCAUAACUGACGCUGAGGCGCGAAAGCUAGGGGAGCAAACAGG
rnacentral:rRNA from 1 species